GGUAUAAUUGAAAGACCAAUUGAAAGAAUCAAACUUGGGAUCUUAGGUGUUAAGUUAUAUGUUAUAACAUGUCUAACAGGUCUAAUCUGCCUAAUUUGGCAAAUCAGAUGUCAGCAAGAUGAGGGUUAGCUUAGGAGGUCCCACAACACAAGGUAAGCCACUUGUGAGAUUAAGCAGUCUGAUUAGGAAUACAAUGUUUGGCUUCACAAGUCAAUACAAGGCAAAAUUAAAACAGUAAUAAUUUGAUUUUAACCAAAAUUGAUGUCUUAACCACCAUGUUUCCUUUCUAAAUGAAUUAAGAUGGUUCAAUUUGAAUGGAACCUAAUUAAUUGGGAGAUUCAAAUAAGGUCACUUGCUGUUAGAAAUCGUUGCGAAGAGGAACUAACACAAACUUUUGAUCAAACUUUGCCCUGCAUCAUGUUUGGCCCUUGAAGCCAUAUUUCACCAAAUUGAUUUAGUGGAAGAGGCUUCAAUGUAUCCAUAGUAACUAUUUGGGAUUCAUCAUUUUUCUUUUGGUUGAUCAUUCUCUUUUUUGCUUUCUUUUUUUCUUUGUUCAUUUUUGGUUUUCAAGUUCUAGAUCAUUUAAUCAAAGAAACGAUAUUAAUUUUUUUUUUUUUACUUUUACUUUAAUGUACCUUUAUUUUUGGGUACUAGGAGUCUUGUCUAGUGUGUUUUUUGUUUUUCGUUUUUUUACUCUACAUAAUGUGGUGUAAAUCCUAGUUUCCUUUUACUCAGAAAGCUCAAAGCAAGGAGGAAUAAAGCGAUGGUAAGACAUAAGAAAUGGGUGCUCACCAUGAAUUUGUUUGUGUAGAAGAGUUUCAAUGAAGAGAAGUGAUGCAGGUAUUAGUCUGAUGCCUUUCUCUGAGGUUAUGAUCUUUCCAAAAUCCCCCAUGGUUAGAUCAUAAGUAGAAUGAAAAUUUUAGAGUCCUAAGUAUGGCCUUUCUAAGGUUCUCUUUUAAAAUACAAGUUAAUAGGUUCAUUAUGUUGCAUCACUAGUUUGGUAUCUCUUAAAUUCUAUUUAUUAUUAUGUCUGCAUUCCAUAUUUUGACAAAUUGAAAAAUACCAGUAGACGUUGCUUUAUAUUUUUAUUAUAAAGCAACCAAAUAUUUUAUUAUACUAAAAACAAUCUUUA